rnacentral:misc_RNA from 1 species
AGCAGCCGCGGUAAUUCCAGCUCCAAUAGCGUAUAUUAAAGUUGUUGCAGUUAAAGAGCUCGUAGUUGAAUUUCGGGAUCAAUAUAUCGGUCGUGCCUUGGUACGUACUGGUAUCAUUGGUUUCUCCUUUCUGACGAACCAUGAUGUCAUUAAUUUGGUGUUAUGGGAAGUUAGGACUGUUACUUUGAAAAAAUUAGAGUGUUUAAAGCAGGCUUUAGCUUGAAUACAUUAGCAUGGAAUAAUGAAAUAGGACGUUCGAACCUAUUUUGUUGAUUUCUAGGAUCAACGUAAUGAUUAAUAGGGAUAGUUGGGGGCAUUAGUAUUCAAUUGUCAGAGGUGAAAUUCUUGGAUUUAUUGAAGACUAACUACUGCGAAAGCAUUUUGCCAAGGAUGUUUUCAUUAAUCAAGAACGAAAGUUAGGGGAUCGAAGACGAUCAGAUACCGUCGUAGUCUUAACCAUAAACUAUGCCGACUAGGGAUCGGAUGAUGUCAAUUUUUUCAAUGACUCAUUCGGCGCCUU